rnacentral:rRNA from 1 species
AUGGCGUCGCCUGGGAUGGACAAGGCAACGAAGAGGGCAGCUAAGAAGGCAGACAAGGAAGACAAGACAAACAAGGCACUUUGGGAUGCAUACCACACCAUGCAUUGUUCUAAUUUCAUCUCUAUGCAUGUAGAUAUGUACUACCUUGUGGAUUCCGGUUAUCCAAACCGGGUGGGAUAUCUAGCUCCUUACAAAGGCCAGACCUAUCACCUUCCAGAAUUUCGAGCGGGACGCCCACCAACUGGAAAGUUAGAGGUGUACAAUCAUGCUCACUCUUCUCUUCGGAAUGUGGUUGAGCGCACAUUUGGUGUUCUGAAGCAGAAGUGGUGCAUCCUAAGGGAUGUGCCCCAAUUCAAGAUGGGAAAUCAAACGAUGAUUAUCAGUGCUUGUAUGACGUUGCACAAUUACAUUACGGAUAACAAGCUACGUGAUAAAGAGUUUGACAAAUGUGAUGAGAAUGAAAACUACAUGCCCGCGGUGGCACGGGCAACACCAUUGCUUGGGGAUGUCGUUUUGACAUCCUCUGAUGAAGGCAAUAUGAACGACACGCGUGACAGUAUUGCGACCUCUUUGUGGAUAGCACGACAAGCUAGAUAG